rnacentral:rRNA from 1 species
GACGAACGCUGGCGGCGUGCCUAAUACAUGCAAGUUGAGCGCUGAAGGUUGGUACUUGUACCAACUGGAUGAGCAGCGCACGGGUGAGUAACGCGUGGGGAAUCUGCCUUUGAGCGGGGGACAACAUUUGGAAACGAAUGCUAAUACCGCAUAAAAACUUUAAACACAAGUUUUAAGUUUGAAAGAUGCAAUUGCAUCACUCAAAGAUGAUCCCGCGUUGUAUUAGCUAGUUGGUGAGGUAAAGGCUCACCAAGGCGAUGAUACAUAGCCGACCUGAGAGGGUGAUCGGCCACAUUGGGACUGAGACACGGCCCAAACUCCUACGGGAGGCAGCAGUAGGGAAUCGUCGGCAAUGGACGAAAGUCUGACCGAGCAACGCCGCGUGAGUGAAGAAGGUUUUCGGAUCGUAAAACUCUGUUGGUAGAGAAGAACGUUGGUGAGAGUGGAAAGCUCAUCAAGUGACGGUAACUACCCAGAAAGGGACGGCUAACUACGUG